UCGAGCGGUAGAGAGAAGCUUGCUUCUCUUGAGAGCGGCGGACGGGUGAUUAAUGCCUAGGAAUCUGCCUGGUAGUGGGGGAUAACGUUCGGAAACGGACGCUAAUACCGCAUACGUCCUACGGGAGAAAGCAGGGGACCUUCGGGCCUUGCGCUAUCAGAUGAGCCUAGGUCGGAUUAGCUAGUUGGUGAGGUAAUGGCUCACCAAGGCGACGAUCCGUAACUGGUCUGAGAGGAUGAUCAGUCACACUGGAACUGAGACACGGUCCAGACUCCUACGGGAGGCAGCAGUGGGGAAUAUUGGACAAUGGGCGAAAGCCUGAUCCAGCCAUGCCGCGUGUGUGAAGAAGGUCUUCGGAUUGUAAAGCACUUUAAGUUGGGAGGAAGGGCAGUUACCUAAUACGUGAUUGUUUUGACGUUACCGACAGAAUAAGCACCGGCUAACUCUGUGCCAGCAGCCGCGGUAAUACAGAGGGUGCAAGCGUUAAUCGGAAUUACUGGGCGUAAAGCGCGCGUAGGUGGUUUGUUAAGUUGGAUGUGAAAUCCCCGGGCUCAACCUGGGAACUGCAUUCAAAACUGACUGACUAGAGUAUGGUAGAGGGUGGUGGAAUUUCCUGUGUAGCGGUGAAAUGCGUAGAUAUAGGAAGGAAC
rnacentral:rRNA from 1 species